UUAAUAUGGAUUGUAUAUAUAUAUAUUUUAUUAGUACCGAAAGGUAAAUUUAAUCAUAAAUAACUAAAAUUUGGUGUACUUUUUGAAUAACGGUUUCUUUACCCCCGAAGCCAGAAGAUCUAACUUUACUUUUCUUACUAUAUAGAAAAAUAGUCAUCGAAUAGUAAUUUAGGGGUGAAAAGCCUUCAAUUCUGAGGAUAUCUGGAAAAUUAUUAAAGGUAUUUAGUACCAAUACACAAUUUAUUGGUGAUAAGAUCAAUAAAUCAUAGAAUAUUUUUUAUGUUUUUAAUAUUUACUUAAUACUAAUAAAUAUAUCAAGUUCCACAUAAAUUUAUAGACGUAUUUCUCUAAUAAUAAUUCUUUUGAAUUAGAGACUUAUCAUGAGAAAAUUAGUAAAGAUUAUAAAAUAUUAAGAAGGAAUUCGGCAAAUUUAGACCUCGGCUGUUUAUCAAAAACAUAGCUAUAAGAUAGUUGUUUAUAGUAUUACCUGCUCAAUGAUUUAAUUAAAUUGCCGCGGUACUUUGACCGUGCUAAGGUAGCAUAAUCAGUUGUCUUUUAAUUGAAGUCUAGUAUGAAUGGGAAAACGAGGGUUUAACUGUCUCCAUUAUAAUAACCUGAAUUUACUAAGUAGGUGAAAAGGCCUAUAGUAGAUAAAAGACGAGAAGACCCUUAGAAUUUUUAAUAUAUAUUUUUUGUUGGGGCAACGCCUAAUAAAUUUUUACCAUUAGAGCUAUAAUAUGACAGUUAUCUCAUGAGCAAAUAAAUUACCUGAGGGAUAACAGCAUAAUCUAUUAAUUAGGAUUGUGACCUCGAUGUUGGACUAGGAAAAAUAUAGGCUAGCCGUCUUUAUUUGUCAGUUCUGUUCGAACUUUUUCUCCUACAUGAUCUGAGUUCAGACCGGCGUAAGCCAGGUCAGUUUCUAUCUUUUUUAGUUAGGCUUUUAGUACGAAAGGACCAGGGCCAUA
rnacentral:rRNA from 1 species